UGGGGAAUAUUGGGCAAUGGGCGAAAGCCUGACCCAGCGACGCCGCGUGGGCGAUGAAGGCCUUCGGGUUGUAAAGCCCUGUCAUGCGGAAAGAACGACCCUGUGACGCAUACUCACAGGGAGUGACGGUACCGCAGGAGGAAGCACCGGCUAACUCCGUGCCAGCAGCCGCGGUAAUACGGUGGGUGCCAGCGUUGUUCGGAAUUAUUGGGCGUAAAGGGCGCGUAGGCGGUAAGGUAAGUCAGAUGUGAAAUACGUCGGCUCAACUGAAGAACUGCAGCUGAAACUGCAUAACUAGAGUACAGAAGAGGGAAACGGAAUUCCCGGUGGAGAGGUGAAAUUCGUAGAUAUCGGGAGGAACACCAGUGGCGAAGGCGGUUUCCUGGGCUGAUACUGACGCUGAGGCGCGAAAGUGUGGGGAGCAAACA
rnacentral:rRNA from 1 species